rnacentral:rRNA from 1 species
UACGUAGGGUGCAAGCGUUAAUCGGAAUUACUGGGCGUAAAGCGUGCGCAGGCGGCUUUGCAAGACAGGUGUGAAAUCCCCGGGCUUAACCUGGGAACUGCAUUUGUGACUGCAAGGCUAGAGUACGGUAGAGGGGGAUGGAAUUCCGCGUGUAGCAGUGAAAUGCGUAGAUAUGCGGAGGAACACCGAUGGCGAAGGCAAUCCCCUGGACCUGUACUGACGCUCAUGCACGAAAGCGUGGGGAGCAAACAGG